rnacentral:rRNA from 1 species
CCUACGGGUGGCAGCAGUGGGGAAUAUUGGGCAAUGGGCGCAAGCCUGACCCAGCAACGCCGCGUGCAGGAAGAAGGCUUUCGGGUUGUAAACUUCUUUUCUGAGGGACGAAGAAAGUGACGGUACCUCAGGAAUAAGCCACUGCUAACUACGUGCCAGCAGCCGCGGUAAUACGUAGGUGGCAAGCGUUAUCCGGAUUUAUUGGGUGUAAAGGGCGUGUAGGCGGGAAAGCAAGUCAGAUGUGAAAACUCAGGGCUCAACCCUGAGCCUGCAUUUGAAACUGUUUGUCUUGAGUGCUGGAGAGGCUAUCGGAAUUCCGUGUGUAGCGGUGAAAUGCGUAGAUAUACGGAGGAACACCAGUGGCGAAGGCGGAUUGCUGGACAGUAACUGACGCUGAGGCGCGAAAGCGUGGGGAGCAAACACGAUUAGAUACCCUAGUAGUC